rnacentral:rRNA from 1 species
GGUCGUAUUACCUACACAUACAACGCCAGGGUACUACGAGCUUCAGCUUAAAACCCAAAGGACUUGACGGUGUCCCAUCCAACUAGAGGAGCCUGUUCUACAAUCGAUACUCCACGAUAUACCUAACCAUUUCUUGCUACUCAGCCCGUAUACCUCCGUCGUAAGCUUACCGUAUGAACGCACAACAGUAAGCCCAAGGGUUUAAUAACCUAACCGUCAGGUCAAGGUGCAGCUCAUGAAAUGGAAGCAAUGGGCUACAAUUUCUAAUUUAGAACAAACGAAACACUGCAUGAAACACAGUCAUGAAGGAGGAUUUAGCAGUAAAUAGGGAAUAGAGAGCCCUAUUAAACUCGGCCCUGGGACAUGUACAAACCGCCCGUCACCCUCUUC